GGAACACAGCUGGCCUCAGAGUCAACACGAUUCCUGAUGUGGGACAGAUCUGGAAGAAUCCAGGGCUCCAGAUCCAGAUGAAUCCACCACUAAAAACAGGGUCUGGGAUGCUACAGAACGAGCAGAGGCACUGCUUAAUGUGGCCAAAGAACAGUCAACAGGUUACGACUUCUGAAAUGCCUCAAGUGAUCCAGUGAUUCCCAGAGGAAGCUGAAAGAGUCCAAGCUCAAGAGACGGAGCUGAAGGAAAUCCAAAAGGCAUCACGUGGCCUCAAACUGAGAUUAAAAAGUGGAAUCAUUUUCCAAACACUUUCUCCAAUCCCAGAUUAAUAGACAUAAGGAAGAUAUGUUGAUGAACCCAAGCGCUGUUGAAUUUCACACAUCUACAUUUUCAAACUUGCCCAUGUUUUGCGGUCAUCGAAAACAAACACCAUUGACUCUCACAGCAGUCUCGUAAAUAAACACAAACCAGAAAGUUUGAAUAUACAGAGGCAGAAACACAAUACGACUUCAAUCUGCGUCUUCUGCUCAAAUGGCUUGGAAUAUAACAUCGUAUGGAUACUUUCGUGAUGUUGUUUUGGAGUUCGACAACCUCAAUAAAGACUUCAACGCAGACAAAUGUUAUCUCAAGGUGCUUUUAAUGGUCAGCUAAUGAACUCAAAAGAAACGGAUCAUGCAGCAUUAAUAACAAAAUGAAGAAUGAGUGGAUAAUUAAGGAGUUUAACUUACCCAGGACUUAUUACAGCAUACAACCCAAUUUAUCUUGAAUUAAAGGGAAAUGCUCAUACUUUGACACGGUUGCCAGAUAUUUAAUGUUUCGCUCAAUAAAGCUCUGGAGAGAA